AACGAACGCUGGCGGCAUGCCUAACACAUGCAAGUCGAACGAGACCUUCGGGUCUAGUGGCGCACCGGUGCGUAACGCGUGGGAACCUGCCCUUAGGUUCGGAAUAACUCCCCGAAAGGGGUGCUAAUACCGCUUAAUGUCUUCGGACCAAAGAUUUAUCGCCUUUGGAUGGGCCCGCGUUGGAUUAGCUAGUUGGUAGGGUAAAAGCCUACCAAGGCGACGUUCCUUAGCUGGUCUGUGAGGAUGAUCAACCACACUGGAACUGAGACACGGCCCAGACUCCGACGGGAGGGAGCAGUGGGGAAUAUUGGACGAUGGGCGAAAGUCUGAUCCAGCAAUGCGGCGGGAGAGAUGAAGGCGUUAGGGUUGUAAAGCUGUUUUACCCGGGAUGAUAAUGACAGUACCGGGAGAAGAAGCUCCGGCUAACUCCGUG
rnacentral:rRNA from 1 species